UGCCAGCAGCCGCGGUAAUACGGAGGGUGCGAGCGUUAAUCGGAAUUACUGGGCGUAAAGGGUGCGUAGGUGGUUUAUUAAGUUAUCUGUGAAAUUCCUGGGCUUAACCUGGGCUGGUCAGAUAAGACUGAUAGACUUGAGUACAGGAGAGGGUAGUGGAAUUUCCGGUGUAGCGGUGAAAUGCGUAGAUAUCGGAAGGAACACCAGUGGCGAAGGCGGCUACCUGGCCUGAUACUGACACUGAGGCACGAAAGCGUGGGGAGCAAACAGGAUUAGAUA
rnacentral:rRNA from 1 species